AGCAGCCGCGGUAAUUCCAGCUCCAAUAGCGUAUAUUAAAGUUGUUGCAAUUAAAAAGCUCGUAGUUGAAUUUCGGGGUUCUACCGUUGGUCGGGCUAUUGUCUGUACUGGUGUGUGGAAUUUCUACCUUCUGGGGAACUAUCAUGUUAUUAAUUUAGCGUGGUAGGAAACCAGGACCUUUACCUUGAAAAAAUUAGAGUGUUCAAAGCAGGCUUACGUCUGAAUACAUUAGCAUGGAAUAAUGAAAUAGGACGAUCGAUCCUAUUUUGUUGGUUUCUAGGAUUGACGUAAUGAUUAAUAGGGAUAGUUGGGGGCAUUAGUAUUCAAUUGUCAGAGGUGAAAUUCUUGGAUUUAU
rnacentral:rRNA from 1 species